GAUGAAGAACGUAGCGAAAUGCGAUACUUGGUGUGAAUUGCAGAAUCCCGUGAACCAUCGAGUCUUUAAACGCAAGUUGCGCCCGAAGCCAUCAGGUUGAGGGCACGUCUGCCUGGGCGUCACAUAUCGUUGCCCAAUGCCUAUUGCAGUGCAAUAGGAAUUUCUAGGGCGAAUGAUGGCUUCCCGUGAGCGUUGUUGCCUCGCGGUUGGUUGAAAAUCGAGUCCUUGGUAGGGUGUGCCAUGGUAGAUGGUGGUCGAGUUAGAACGAUACCGAUCAUGUGCAUGCUCCCCAAAAUAUGGCCUCUAUGACCCACACGCGUCUUUUGACGCUCAUGACGAGACCUCAGGUCAGGCGGGGCUACCCGCUGAAUUUAAGCAUAUCAAUAAGCGGAGGA
rnacentral:misc_RNA from 1 species